CUUUGCUGCGUGCUCGCGUCCAUGUGUUGCUGCUAACCCAAAUGCUGAUGGUAUGGGAACAGCAUAGGGAGAAACACUGCUGUCACCUGUCCUCUUGGCACCCAGUGCAUGCAUUUUUCAUUCAUGGAAGCGUCUGAUAUGCAGAUUUAUUCAGAGCAAAACAGCUUACUCCUUGAGAAGUGUCAAAAUAUUCAAAUCGUUGGAAACACAACCAAGAAGCCCUGAGCCCUGCUUCCGUGCGGCUGCAGUUGGGGGAUUCCAGGUUUCAGCAGAUUUCUACCACGGCGGAGGCAAUCAGAGCUGGUCUUUGCUUUCCAGUUUCUGACACUAAUUGAGGGUGCCACCUCCUCUCUGUGGGCAUGCGA